ACCAAAUUUCGUGUAGAAGAGCCAAUUUCCUGCUGUUUUCUAGGACCCAGCAGUUGGUAACCAGGCAUUCCUAACAGCAGAGCUGAAGCCCUGUAGGAUGGAGGGUUUGCACCUGCAGAGCUACUCAGAGAUGAGACCUGGGACAAAUCACUGCUUUAUUCAAGAGCCUGAGGUAUCCAGUGAUAGGAACCGCAGUGAGAAGGCUGCAGGGAGCUGUGGUGCUUCUGAGGCAUGCCCAAGCCAGUUUGUAAGCAAGAGGCAGGUUCUCAGGAACGGAAACAGAGGGACCCAAAGUUACGAUGGGAGACCCCACAUCCUUGAUGUGAGCUGAAGAUUUGCUGCCAGAAAACCUUUCUUGCACUGAAGGAUCUGGAGUGCCGCGUGUGAGCUUUGCAGCAGGUUUACUUAGUGCUUUCACAGCUGCCUUGGCAGUGGUGGGGUGAUCUGAGGAAAGUGUGGGCAGAAGAGUGCUUUAGCACAUGAGUAACCUGUCUUUCCUCCAGUUUUUACCCUUGUUCCCCGCAUCAAAUACUCCCUCAUCCUCCUGAAAAGAGCAGAUGAGCAGUCUGCAGACACUGAAUAAGCAGAGGGGUUGGUUCUGGCUUUUGAAAGGAGAAACCUUUGUGGUAAUGUUGCUUGGAGAGCUGCUGUGUGAGGCUGGCCAGCCUUUAAGGUUGGGGAAAGAGGGAGAAAACAGGAAAGUCGGAGUUUCACAAUGUCUGUGCUGAAAGAAACGAGAGCCCAGGUCAGCAAGUCCAAGCCCUUGACUGGAAAUGCAGAAGCAAAGCUAAUUUAUGGUUUGCUAGAUAAUCUUUAUGGAAUUCCAGGAGUGAGAAGCCAUUCGCUGACCCCUUCAGAGACAACUUCUUGUCCUUGAGCUUGGCCAGGAAGGAAGUCGGAGCCCUUCAGCUGACAGUGAUCGUGCAUGGGGGCCGAGGCUGAGCUCCAGACCACAACCACAUCCUGCAUGGCCAGCCUGGGCAGGAACCAUCAUGUGCUUGCCCCACAGGCUGUGCUGGCAGCUGGUGCAGCCUCACCUGGGCUGGGAGCAGACACAUGGGGAUGGUGAAACCAUGACCUUACACCUGGUAGAGAUGCUCACCAGAUGUUUGCCCUCUUGGUGCUGGUUCUGCCUGGAAAAUCCUAAUAUCUAGUGCUGUAGACGGUCUGCUCAGCAGUUAAGAUUUGCCCUGUUUCCUGCUGGGAUGCUUUUCUGGCCCGUUGUUUGAGUGGGUAGGGUGAGAGGGAACAUGGAGCUGUGUCCUCCAUCCAAGAUGCCUUGGUUCCCAGGAGCUGUUGGGAAAUGCUGAGAGCUGUUCUUGUCAGUUUGCAGGCUUGGAACUGGAGGGAAGGGCAAGGUAUGGAGUGCUUCCAGCAGCUCCAGGACUGCAGCUGAAAGGGUCAGAAAUCCCACGCAUCAGUCUGAGAUAUGUAUAGAAGGAUAUAUAUCUCAUGUCUUGUUUAUGUCUUGUUUAGGAUGAGAGGAAUCUCGUUAUGACUAUUUCCUGGACCCCCUUCAAUCCAUUAGGAUGGACAUCCAUUUUUGGAUUACCAUUCAAUGCAUGUAGAUGUGUUACAAAAAAAAAAAAACCAAAAAAACCACAAGAGACAUUCACAGGGAAUGUCCUUUCUGAUUCUUUAUUCUUCUGCUCUACAGCAAAACUAUGCCUUUCGGGCUCUGACUACUGGGGUGCAAGGCUGGGUUCUGCCCUUGCUCGUCUGGACCCAUCUUCCUUCUGACUUCCAUGCAAGCUACUUUUUUGGGGUGUUUUUAGGACAAGUCUAGUAUAUAGAGGGUGGGGAGCAAAACACUCUCCUUUUCUUUCACGGCCCCUUCUUUCUUUGGAAUCCUGCUGCUGCCCCUUGCUGCAAGACAAGGAGACCUCAAAGGCAUGGGUGAGAGCACAGCUCUUGCUCAGACUGCAAAUCUUCCAAAGGAUUAGGGUUUUACUUCAAAUAGAGGAAUGUAAAUGUGUCUGGCUCCAUAGUGGCUGGAAAUUUCUCGCCGGAGCCAAUGUUGGGCCAUACUUGGCGGUGACAAGACGUUUGUUUGCCCACCCUGGUUGGACUACAGCUCUCGGGCUGGAAAAUGUUAAAAUGGGCUGUGCGUGCUUUUAGUGUCAUAAAGUGGAGCCGGG
ensembl:lncRNA